GAAGCAGUUCAUUCAUUGGUGCCGUGCAAUCAUUCAUUUGGUGCCGUCGACAGCGAGGUGUGUUUUAUUUGCAUUAUUUUAUUUUUGUGGUAGUUUGUUUGGUUGGUGGUGACAUUUGUUAAAUAACAUAAAAAAGAAAGAAAUAAGAAUAAACCGAAAAUAUAAAAUUAGUGCAAACUUGUGGUAUUUCACGAAGACUAUGAUAAAAAUAGAUGUGCGUGUGAGUUUUUUUUUAAUAACGAGUACUUAAUUAGCUAAAUCGUCUACCAGCGAGCAGAGCAAUAUUUGAUAGUGUUAAUGGGAGCAACACGACGCCGCACAUAAAAGUGAUCCCUAAUCUAAAUGUGAUUCAGAUAGCGUAAAAUUACUCGUCAAGAUGUUUUUAUAUUUUGUUCAAGGUGACGAAUGGCAGAGAAGUAGAAAACUCGGCGGAAAAUGGUUUACUGUUUGAUGUGGGUUUCUGACAGGCUGUUACAUCAUGUUUGUCUCGAGAGGCAGAACACGAUGUGAAGCGAUAUAAUUAUUAUAUAAUAAGCGUGAAAUCGUUUUGACAGCAGUAAUCUAGUGACCACAGAAUGAACAAGGACAGUUUAGCUCUCCGCGAGAAUGAACUCAUCGAGGGCAAAGAUGGCGACUUCGAACAAAGGCCCGAAGCGCACCUGAAAAUCACCAAUUAAAGCGAUUAGCGACAACAAAGUGGCACCCGAACGGGUCAUGCAAAUUAAACGUAAUCCGUAGCAUCGUAAACAAUCCCCGCAGCACCAGUAGCUGCGGCCGAUCUGCAUACCGACCCGACCGACCGUGACGACAUCGGUGAAUGCUGCUGAUGCGGUGAUGCUGAACAAGCGAUGCAGACACCCGGCUCCCCCUUCCCCCGAAAACUGUAUCUCGUGGCCGGUGGAAAAUUAACAAAGACCUAGCUGGAGGUGGCGGCCUUGCGGCAGCAACGGAACAACUUAUGAACCCACUCAGACUCAUGUGGUGAGGUGAUGCUGUGUUUAUUAAUCCCAGUUCCGCCACUGUUGUGGCCAAUAACCGACGCCCAGGGAGGCGACUCCACACCCAGGACCCUAACUCACGACCCGUUUAUCAACGGACCGGCGCCAACGGCUUUACUUCCUCAUGCGAUGGAAGGCGUGAUCCCAGAGAUUUUUCGCCCCAGAAAAUCUCCCGGUGUCGGCUAGGAUUGAAUCUAGACCAUUUGUGUUGGUUGUGAGUGGAUCACGCCACCUCACAACCGUCGACACCUAUGUCGGCGGUGGGAUUCGAACCCAGGCGUCGAGCGUGGUUAGCGGAGACGUUACCAACCACACUAGGCCCCCGCUGAAUCAUUUACUUAUGAUGAAUAUAAAA